AACAAAAAUACAUUAGUAGUAUGAUUUCGGCUCAUAAUCAGACCUUUGGUCUUUUGUUU
rnacentral:tRNA from 1 species